ensembl:rRNA 5S_rRNA 5S ribosomal RNA
GUCUACAACCAUAUCACCCUGAACAAGCCCGAUUCCGUCUGAUCUUGAAAGCUAAGCAGGGUCGAGCUUGGUUAGUACUUGUAUGGGAGACCACCUAGGAAGACCAGAUGCUGUAGGUG